GACAGAGGGUGCGAACGUUGCUCGGAAUCAUUGGGCGUAAAGCGCGUGUAGGCGGCAUCGCACGUCGGAUGUGAAAUCCCUCGGCUCAACCAAGGAAGUGCAUCCGAAACUGCUGAGCUUGAGUACGAAAGAGGAUCGCGGAAUUCCCGGUGUAGAGGUGAAAUUCGUAGAUAUCGGGAGGAACACCAGUGGCGAAGGCGGCGAUCUGGGUCGAUACUGACGCUGAGGUGCGAAAGCGUGGGGAGCAAACAGG
rnacentral:rRNA from 1 species